CUUUCUCAUUCCAUGGGCCUUAUUUUUAAUUUCUUAAGGGUAACCUCAAAUAAACGAAUUUCAGAUGAUCCAAACUGUUUGAAGCGAUAAUAGUACUAAUUUUCAUUGUCUUCAUCUCAACUAAUAGAGUUUCACUAGACGUUUUAUUUACAACUCUCAAUCUAAAUUGAGACUUGUAGUUAAAACAUCAUCCUAACAAGGACGCUACUGUUUUCAUUGUCAAGUUAAUAGAGACUGCGAUGGUGUUGGUGUAUUAGAUGUGUGGUAAAAUACUAAAAGUUUGAGCAAACGUACAUUACAUUCAAUAUUUGUCGACUGCGACACGUAGCCUCGAUAUACACAAGAAAUAUACGGUUGUACUUUAUGGUGUACAAAAAUAUUUUUAAAAUAGUGUUUAACGCGAUAAAUAUUGAAAUGUACUAUGUUUGGUUAUGCAAUAAUGAUAUGUGGAUAUAAUAAGUAACUGCUACCUCAACGAUGCCUGAUAUUUGUUGACGGUCUGUUGUCCAAUGCGUGUAACGUGAUGUUGAAAUUUGAAAUAAACGUAAAAUAACUUUCAUAAUACCCUAUUUACAUUUUAUUGUGUCAGUCAAUCCCUAUUUCUUUAAUUAAUCUGUAUUUUUUUUGUUUAUUGACAUUCAUGACGUAGCUACUGAAUAUCUUUUCAAUUUUGUAGAGUAAAAAUAUACUUAAAUAUUUAUCGAUAAUUAUUUAAAAAAAUGUUAACAUACCUUUUCUUAAGCAUUUGGCAUCCUAUUUUUUUUGUUCCAAAUAAAUAAAAGGAAAACAUUUUAUUUCUCAUUUAUGAUAUAUAAAUAAACCCAUCGUUACAUGGUAAUUAAAUUAUAGUUAUAUAUACUAUUAUAUAAUUAAACUUCGAACUUGUUGCUUUUCCGUAUUUUCAAAUCACUAUUUUUUCUUUAAAAAAUUACUAGCUUAAAAAUUUUCCUCUUAAAAAAUAUGGAAUCAUUAUUCGAAUAUUUUGAGUUUAUUUUUGUCGAAGAUAUGUCGCUAUAACUGAAUCCUAAUUGUAAUAAAAAAUAAUAAUAUAUAUUUUUUUUUUGCUUUGCGUUACAUACCUCUGAGUAUAACGUUUUCAUAAAGUAAAAAUUAUAAUAAUUACUUAAAUUUUAUUUAAUACUUAUGCAUAUUAUGUACUUUGAUGGUUUGCUGAGGUAUGAAAUCGUUUGUAAUGUGUGCUUUGAUCAAAAUUAAUAAUUUCCAGGUUUCACAUUUAAUUAAAUUUAACUAAAAGUUACAGGAAAGAAAAUAAAACUCGUUUCUAUUCAAAGACAUUUAUUCAAAAUAAAAAUAGACAAGGUUGCAUAAAGUAUUUUAAUUAAAUUCUCUGAAUAUUGUUUUAGUAUGCUAAAUAGCAGUAAUAUGUAGUAAAUGAUUUGCCUAACCUGACUAAAAUUUAUUUUUAGAUUCUUUUCUCAUUAAUAUUUUAAAUGUUAAAAAAAUUCAGUGUCAUUUAUCAUUGUAUAUUAUGAAAAUAGGUUGAUAUUUUGAAAUAUCAAGUUUGACAGUUGUAGAAAUUGCUUUGUUUUUCUUAAAUAAACACGUGUCUCGAUAAUUCUACUACCGUAAUUUAAGCGUUUGGUAUCUUGAUGUAAGUUAGAUCGCCUAUUUUUUAAUUAUAAUAAAAUCGCAUUUUUAGUUGUAACUCUUGUACAAUAUGUAAUUUGAAUAUGGGAUAUCAUUUUCUUAACUUGUAAUUUAUGUGUAGAGGAAUAAAUAAACAUUUUACUGUAUAAUCGUUUAUUUUUUAUUUACAAUUUCAAUCACACCAUAAUAAAAAAUAAGUACUAAUAAAGAUCUACUACAUGUAAGUGAUAAAAAUUAAAUCAUCAUAUUAAUAGAAACAUAUAUAAUAGACAAUUUUUUUUUCUUUAAAAAUUAAAUAAACAUUUCAAAACACAGAAAUCAAAUAAAAAUUAAAAAAUAUAAAUAAUUAAAAAUGUCUAAAAUAACAAAAGAAAAAUGUCUUUUACUACAGUAAAGUUUACUAUUGUUAAGGUUUUUACAAUGUAGUAAAAAAAAUCAAGAAAAAUAACAACAAUAAUAAAGGUAAGGUAUAUAUGUACAUAAUACAAUGUAUGUACGUUCAGCUUAAAAUAUGCGGUAGGUACAAAUAAGGAUGGGUAUAAUGAAUACUGCCGUCCACGUGUGCCCCGACACGCUUUGGCGUCCGUCCCAUAAAUGCACCUGAAGGCUACUGCAUUUAUUUCAGUGCAUCGUUGACACGAGCUACGUGCGAAUAUCAUGAUAUUUAUGAGUUUCUAUUUGUAGUUCAUUUCGCAUCUUACCAGCUAUAUGUUAUAUUGGAUAAUUAUAAAUUUUUAAUAACUACGUUUAUUGUUGUGCUAGCAUUAAUACUUAUUAUAUGUGCAUUUUAUUUAUUUUAUUAAAUAAUAUUCUUCAUUCAUUAUAAUUGUUCGUCUGUUUACUAUAUUUUAAAUUAUUACGUAUUUGUAUUCGUUUUUAAAAGAUAUAAUGUCAGUCAGUCGGGUUCGUAUAACAUAUUAAUAAACUUAAAUCAAUACUUUCUUUUCAAUAUAAAUAUUUUCAUCAUCAUCAUUUCAGCCUAUUGCAGUCCACUGCUGGACAUAGACCUCCACAAGUUCGCGUCAAAAAUGGCGCGAACUCAUGUGCGUUGCCCAUAGUCUCCACGCUGGGCAGGCGGGUUGGUGACCGUAUGUGUAUACCCGUGGGGGUAAAUAUUUUAAAAGAUUCUUAUAGCACUUAAAACGCAAAAACCUUGUAAAAAAAAUUCUUAUAAAAUCUAGGUACAUAAAAGAUAAACAAAAUAGUUAUAUAAAAAUACAAUCCACGAUGUCUUCACUUCCUUCUAGAUGGUUUGAGCAGAACGCAGAGGCAGUGGCGUUACUGGCUGUUGAUAUUAACUUAACAACCAGCUAACCACACUGCCAUCGCGGCCUGUCAAUAUAUCUUCUUAAGAUUAUUCGUCUUCUUAAACCUAUUCUUACUUCCUAAAUAGGGCCGAAAAUGUUAAUCGGUUUUAAGAAUUAGUAAUUUGAAUUAUUUUUUUGUUUGAAUGUAACAUAUCUUAGGCACGUCAAAUAUAUAUUGCAUUUAAUUUUUAUAUUCUAUAGAAACAAACACGUCUAAAAAAGUUCAAUGCUUAUAAAAACAAUUUAAACAAUUUAAGUUUUUAAGUAACGAAACUAAAAAACAAUUUCACCCAAUUUUUGCGUCGACAUAUUUUUUUUGCAGUCACUUUACAAACUCUAAGAGUACAUAUGUAUACGGUAGACAAGAGCACAAAAAUGUAUUUCGUUUGCUUCUCAUAAAGUUUUCUGCUUAAAUUAUUUGUAGGCGUAAAUUUUAUGAACUCGAUUAAUAUAUUUUGUGACUCAUAUUUAGCUUGUUCACUACGUUCUCGAUGCUUCAAGUCCUGGAAGCCUAUACUCAAGACUAAAUGACCCUUAAAUUGAUGAGAAAAUCGGUCUGUCACCCUCGAGUUAGGCUAUCUCGAUAUGCUUAUAUAUUAUGCCUCCCCUUAUGCUUUGUAUGUUUUCGUACCUGUAAAAACUAAAAAAGCAUUUAUAUUUGCCCUGGACCUAAAAAAAUGUGGUUUCAUUAUGAUGAUAUUUAAUGUUAUAACUUUUUAAAUAAAACACAGUUUCGUAGUUAAUGUAAGUCCUCCUAAGUUUAUAACUCAUAAUUAUUUUUUUACGAUAUUUGCACUGUAAAAUUGCUUUUAUUCAUUAAAAAAAAAUUGGUGCGAUGAAAACAAAUGUAAUUUGUGAUCACAGAAUUCUAUUUUACCAAACAAUAUGUGUGGUUACGGCAGUAAAGAAUAUAGCCACCCCUCUCUUCCCGUGGGUGUCGUAAGAGGCGAUUAAGGGAUAACACAGUUCCGCUACAACCUUGGAACUUAAAAAGCCGACCGAUGGCGGGAUAACCAUCCAACUGGUGGCUUUGAAAUACACAGGCCGAAAACGGGCAGCAGCGUCUUCGGUGCGACAAAGUCAGUGAUGACUAUGGACAAAACACAUGAGUUCACUGCAUUUUUGGCGCGAACUUGUGGAGGCCUACGUCCAGCAGUGGACUGUUUUAGGCUGAAGUGAUCAAACAAUAUGUAAGGUACUUGAAACGAAAUAAUGUAAUUCACUUUGAUAAAGUCGGUUAGGUAAACGCCUCCUAUAUAAUUCCCUAUUCCCUAAAAUAAAUAAAAGAAAAAAAAAAUAAUUCCCUUCACAGUAUUUGGGCAGUGUGUUGGAUAUCCCUAAAUAUCCACAGUAGAUAAGCACAAAUGACCAUAUCACGAUAAAUAUAUGUAAAGCUUAUAAAAAUGUUUGGACGCCGUUGCUGAGACCGCUGCGUCAAUGAGUCGAGUUACUUAUAACUAUUAAAUGUUUUACAUAAUUAUUUACAUAUUUUAAUUAUGUUGUUUUCGGACUAUUUUAGUAUUUUUGUAUUAUUUUAUCAAGAACUCUACAUGAUUCUUAAGAACGUAUGUCGUAAGCAAAGAUAUUUAAUCUUAAUCGCAUGAUUGGACUGAUCGUAAUAUGAAAUGAUUAAGUUUUGUUUUAGCAAAUAGUGAUUUGUGAUUUAAUUGUCUAGUCGUCGUUUUUUUUUUUUUUUUUUUUUCUAUAUUUAAAGCUAUAUCGUUUAUCGAGGCAUUCGUAUUGUUAAUUGACUAGCCCGUUGACGCAGUUUAUAGUGGCCUUACUUUCUGUUCUUCGGGUUGCGGGUUCGAUUCCCGCCUGAGUCUGGGUGUAAUAUUUGUAUUUUUAUAUGUAUUAUUUCUCUGUAUAUUUAUCAAAAAAAAAAAAUAAUAACAGUCGGUUGUUACCUUUAACACAAGCAUUAAAUUACUUACCAUAGGAACAGACGACCGUAUGUGUAUGUUAUAAGAUAUUUAUUUAUUUAUUUUAUAUAUUUUAAAUCCGCAUAAAAAGGAAAAAGGCUAGAGAAUGUAAAAUGUGAGUGUGAAAAUAUGAGUUUAAAGGUAAAGCAAAAAUUAUAUUUGUUAGACAAAUCUGAGAUUUUUCACCUUAUAACAGUUUACACAAUCAAACCUAAGGACAUAUGCAUAAGCAACUAACUGCAUGGAUUAGGAUGAUCAUUUUAAAUUCAUAAAAAUAUGUUUUAAAACACUCAGUAAUCUUAUACCUUUAAUAAUUGUGUUUGCAAGCAAACGAAAAAAAAAACCGACUUCAAUUACAUCGACAAGUAAUACAACGUAGGUAGACGAAAAAAUAGUCAAGUAAAUAUGCAUUAUCAAAGAUUACUCCAAAAGUUGUAAUCAGAUCUCAAUGAAAUUAAAAUGUAGCGACAUGAUAAACAUCAGCUUUCGAUUAAUUUCAAAAUCAUCAAAAUUGGUACACCCAGUAAAACGUUAUGCGGAUUUUCGAGAGUUUCCCUCGAUUUCUCUGGGAUCCUAUAACGAAAUCCUGGUUUUCUUAUCAUGGUACCACACCAGAGAUAUCCCCUUUCCAACAAAAAAAGAAUUAUCAAAAUCGGUUCAUAAACGACGAAGUUAUGCCCGAACAUAUAUAUAUACGAGGAUGCGUUUUUAAGUUCGCGGAAUGAGAGGGUUGGAAGGGGGUGAUUAGGUUCAUUAAGAUCGUAACGUGUUUAGUGACUCAUAAUUAGUAUAAAUACGAGAUUUCAUUGUUAUUAGAUUAUUGAGCUAUCGCCAACCAAGCAACAUAAUCAGGAGGGAAAAGUGAAAUAUGGAAAAAAUUGAAUAUCGUGCCGUUAUAAAGUUCCUUACCAAGCAAGGAAAAUCAGUUGCGACCAUAAUGGAUGAGAUGUCAUCGGUUUACGGUGACUCUUGUCCAGGAAAAACCAUGGUGUACAAGUGGCACAGUUUGUUUAAAAAAGGAAGGGAAUCCCUUGAAGAUGACCCGAGGCCGGGCAGGAGCAUCGAGGUGACCACGCCAGAACUUAUUCAAAAAGUCGAAAAACUUGUACUCAACGAUGCUCGACUAAAGAAGAAACAACUCGCAGAAAUAGUUGGCGUAUCCGAUACAACCAUUUUUAAAAUCCUGCACGAUCAUCUUGGCACGACUAAGGUCAGCGCAAGAUGAGUACCGAGAAUGCUCACGCCUCCGCAAAAACAACAACGCGUAGAGUGUUCACGUUCAUUUUUGGACCUCUGCAAUGAAGACAAGGAAGGUGUAUUGAGUCGAAUUGUUACUGGAGACGAAACUUGGGUUCAUUAUUAUGAACCUGAGUCGAAACAAGACUCUAUGCAGUGGCAUAAAAAGGGCACAGCACCCCCCAAAGAAGUUUAAGGUGUCACAGUCAGCUAGGAAACUUAUGGCAACGGUCUUUUGGGACUCAGAAGGAAUAUUGUUGAUCGAUUAUAAAGAUAAUGAGUUAAAAUUAUAUUAUUACUAGCUGACCCCGCAAACGUUGUUUUGCCAUGUAUGUUAUGACCCCUCCCCCCCUUAUAAUUUCAUCAUCAUCAUCAUUUCAGCCUUUCACAGUCCACUGCUGGACACAGGCCUCCACAAGUUCACGCCAAAAAUAGCGCAAACUCAUGUGUUUUACCCAUAGUCACCACGCUGGGCAGGCGGGUUGGUGACCGCAGGGCUGGCUUUGUCGCACCGAAGACGCUGCCGCCCGUCUUCGGCCUGUGUAUUUCAAAGCCAGCAGUUGGACGGUUAUCCCACAAUCGGUCGGCUUUUUAAGAUCCAAGGAGGUAGUGGAACUGUGUUAUCCCUCGUCGCCUCUUACGACACCCACGGAAAGAGAGGGGGUGGCUAUAUUCUUUACUGCCAUAGCCACACACUUAUAGCUUAGAAAUGAAAAAUAGAUAUUGGCCGAUUCUCAGACCUAGCCGAUACGCACACAAAAUUUCAUAAAAAUCUGUCUAGCCGUUUCGGAGGAGUAUUUUAACUAACAUUGUGACACGAGAUAAUUUGCACUCAAUAAGUAUAAUCAUUAUCACGUUACAAAAAUUACAAUAAGUAUUUAUACGUGAGUAAAAUUAAACGAAAAAAAAAUAUCUGUAUAAUAAAUAAUAAAUGAAUUAAUUAAUAUACAAAAACGAUAAUAUACAAAAGCAAUAAUAAAUUUUUUAGUUGUUGAUGCCGGUAGAGCAAGUGAUAGGCAAAUGAUAGGUAUUAUAAUUUAUGUGGAGUAAUUGUGAGGUUUUUCUCUAAAAAUUUCUAAGAUUUUUUAAAAACAUCUUAACCUUAGCGUUUUAAUAUAUAUGAUUUUCAAAUUUAAGUGAGAUCUUUGUUUUUGUUCUCUAAACGUAUUAUCAAACAUGUCGUCAAUGAAAUUUUCACCAAUUUUGUUGAGCACGUGGACUGUUUGUCAACCGCGUCAUAUAAAGCCAUACCACAGAUUACUAAAUAGUUACCACGUACCUUCCAACCAAAUAUUUGGACUAACUCGUUAAAAUUGACAAAUAGUUCGUCAAUCGUCUAGCUCUUGACAAUUGGCUUAAUUAUCCUAUUUGCCUACGAUAUUAUUAAUUUUAAUGAAUCUAAACAUACAUAUUAAUUUAGUUUUCAUUAAUCGCAGUUACAAUUUGUCUUCAUAUCUCCACAGCCGCCAUUUCCUUGUCCAUCCUGAAAAAGAAAACGAUAUAAAUUAAGUAUCGCGUGCUCAUUUAUUUUACUUUUCAUUUGCUAAGUGAAAACAUAGGUAAU
rnacentral:misc_RNA from 1 species